GUUUGUGAGGGUGAUUCAUGCACAGGAACAGAUAGUUGAAGGGUUCUUAUACUACCUAACUUUGGAAGCAAAAGAUGGUGAGAGUAAAAAUGUGUAUGAAGCGAAGGUGUGGGAGAGGUCAUGGAUCAACUCCACUCUAUUGGUCGAAUUUAAGCUUAAGCUUGUCAAUGAUGCUCUUUAAUCUUCUUUCCAUCGUAGAAUACCACUUUUCAAGACUAUUUUACUAUGCAUGUAUGCUAUAAAUAAAUGUAACUCAUGUUACGUACCCACCAUAUAUGUAUUCCCAUGAACUCCACUAUAAAUAAACGUUAUCAUUUAAUUAUAACUAAUGUUUGUGAUAUAUAUUUGUUGUUUAUUUGAAUAAAUUUAUUUUUGUUAAGAGGAUUCCAAGGUAAUUUAUUUUUUAUGUUUAUUUGAAAAAAUUUGGAGGUAAUAGUGAGACUAGAUUUCGAAGUAAAAUUUGUGAGAAUUAGUGUAGUAUUUAUUUUAUGUGACAGAUUAAAAAAAUUUACUUCCAAAUUCACUUUUACUUACCUCUAAAUCUAUUCAAAUAAACAACAAAAAAUUAGGCUUAAUAGCACUAAUGGUCCCUAUUUUGGCUAUCCACCUCAUUAAAAAUUGGGUUUCAUUAAAGAAAGACUUAAUACCUCUGAUGGUCCCUAUUUUCGUUAAGUGUGUUCGAAAUGGUCCUAGUUUUAUUUCAGAUUUUACCUCACUAUGCCUCAAGGGAAUCCACGUGGCCAGUUAAAUGCCACAUUAACACUUUUCUGCACAGCUGGAGUUUUUGCCGUUAACUAUUUAAACGGCGUCUCCAAAAAGGACCAGAUUGAACGAAAUUUACAAUCUUUAGGACCACAUUGAACAGAAAAAAAAAAUGGGGACCAAUUUGAAGUUUGCCAACCAAAAUAGGGACAUUAGUGUUAUUAAGCCAAAAAAUUAUCAUCAAAUCCUCUUAAUUACUCUCCUCCAAAUCCACUCAGGUGAACACAGUUUUAAUAGAUGAAAGAUUAUAAUAUCCUUAUAUAUAUAUAUAUAUAUAUAUAAUACUCUAUUCCUUGAAAUAAUACAUUAGAAUUAUUUUUUAAACUUUUUAUUAGUUGCAUCAUCCUUUCUAAUGGGGUUUUUCCCAUUGCUUGUGUUUAUUCUCUUCCCGUCUAAGUUCUGCGACGAACUCUUUUUGGUCUAAAUAGUACUGUUUCAAACUUAAGUAACUUAUUACUCACGCCCCCGUAUGUUAGCAUCAUUAAGUGUGUUAUCCUAUAUUUUUCUGUGUCUUAAUUACUCCAUGGUUGUAUUCUCCACCUCAUUGUAUAAUUUGUUUAUGAAAUAAUAAAGUUUGUCAUCGAAUUUGAAAUUACUGAACAUGUAUAUAAUACCACAAAGCUUUGUCUAUCCCAAACUUUCAGCUUUGAAUUCACUGGCACUACUACAGAAUUAAUCAUAGAUAGCGCUUUUUUAAAUAAGCGCUAUCUAUGAAUGUACAGAACAAUAGAUAGCGCUUAUUUAAAAAAACGCUAUCUAUACCUAUGAUAAUAGAUAGCGCUUUUUAGAAAAAACGCUAUCUAUAAAUAAUUUUUUUUUUUUAAAUUCAUAAUUUAAAAUAGAUUCAUAAUAGAUAACAUUUAUUUUAAAAAACGCAAUCUAUUAUAACACAAUAAAUAAGAUUUUACUUAAAAUAUAUAUAUAUAUAUAUAUAUAUAUAUAUAUAUAUAUAUAUAUAUAUAUAUAUAUAAUGUUAAAAAUAUUUUGAAAAGAGGUUUUCAAUCCCUCUUCGUCGGAGUAUUUUACGUAUUUCGUUCGAGUUUCUUUUUACUCUUCUUUGAACUCUUUUUAUUUUCAUAUUUUCCAAAAUUUUCCCUGUUUUUCCUAUUUACUCUCGUAUUUUUUAAAAUUUUCUCCCUUUCUCUUAAAUUUUCAGUUUCACUUAAGAUACAAAUUCAUCAAUCCCGCCAUCCCCAAAUUUCACUUUCGAUUUGCCCCUAAAUUUUACUUCGUGCUUGCACUCAAAUUUCACUGUGUUUAUCCCAAACCGGCAUUACAUUUUAGAUCUUAGUGGAGCAAGUCAUUAUUGUGUUGUCUUCUCCAUCAUUGCUCAUCGGCAGGCCAAAGUUCAUCAGUUGCCAUCACUGGUAAGGGUUUAGGAAACCAACCUCCUUCAAUAAAUUAGUACGGUCGUGGCUAGGUUUAAUGCUUCGCCAGAAGUUCUGGUGAGAGAAGUGAUGGUGUUGUUGAAGACAUCACCUACAAACCACACCUCGAGUCAGCACUCUCCUUUGCCAUAUCUUCAUUGUGCUUGCGGCAAUGUUGGCACCUCAUUUUCAAUUUCGUGUUACUUCUCUCAUUCUCGCGAAGCAUCACCAACAAACCACUCCUCAAGUUCUCUCUCUUGCAACAGCCACAAUUCUUCACAUAUCCACCUUUUCUCCUCACAUUUCUACCUUAUUUCAGCUAUUUCGGCCUUAGAAACACUAUCUUCACCGAGUAGUUCUUCGAUCUACGGCCUCUGUUAGGAUUUCCCUCAUUUUUCAUCUUUUUCUUUGAUUAUAACCGUUUAAAUACUCUUUUGCUCCGAUUAAACACUUUUCCACCGUUUAAUCUCCAUUUUGAUCUGUUUAAUCGGUUAACGUAGUGUUUUAAGGUUCUUUCACCGUUCGAUUUAGGGUUUCCUUGCUUCAUUCAUAGUUUUCGUUUGUUUGCUCUUGGAUUCGUAUCAUUCCAUUGCGUUUCACUCUUCGAGGACUUAUUGGAAAGGUGGACUUUACUGUUAGGCAUCUAUCUUCUUCCAGAAACUCAUUUCCUACCACAUGGGAGUUCAGCAGUACUCAACAAUGUAUUGGAAACACACAUCAGGUCUGUUGUUUCUUUUUCUCUGACCGAAAGUCCAUUUUUUUUCUCUCUUGAAAGUAAUUUUUAUUUUGCAAGUGCUCAUUCUGAUAUUUUCCCCUUUGUCUGAAAAAUAGUGUUCUACAUACACUGCAAUCCUUCAUCAGAGAAAACCUGGACCAUGCGUACCACCUUUCCGGAAUAUGUUGUUGCUCUGGCCAGUAUAGUUGGAUCUGUGCUUUUUGCUAUAAGUUAAUCCUAUCUCAUAUGUUGCCUGGUAAUUUAUGGAUUUUUGAGCAAAAUAUAUAUAUAUAUAUAUAUUUUUUACUUUUCAAAUUAUCAUACAUUCUUCCAAUUAUCAUAUUUUUUUCUUGUGAAAGUGUGUAUGAAUUAGGAUAUUGGGCUACUUGACUCCCCAAAAAUUUUAAUUUGAUCCUAUAAAUUGCACACAAGCAGAAGCAAUUACUUANAAUAAUGACCNUGGUAAUGCCUUGCAUCCAAGGUCGCAAGUAAGUUUAUUUCCUAUUACUGAUGUUAGNAAUUGAUUUCUCACCGUUCAAUCCAGAUAUUUGGUGGUGUUGGUAUUGCUUGUCUUCCAUUGGGACUUAUAUUUUCUUUCAUUCAACGUCCAAAGGCUGUUAUCACUCGUUCCAGUAUAUCAAGGUGUUAUAUCCUUUUAGAGCUGGAAACUACUAAAUGUUGAUUGAAUAUGUUGUAUUAUAUUUAUUGNGUGGUUUGUUGGUUAUGGUUGUAGGAAGCUACUAAAUUGGGCUGAAAAGCAAAAGAUCUGAAGAAAGCAGCUGAGUCACUUCGUCAGGAAGAAAAAGCUGGUUCAAAGGAUAGGAAAUUUCGUAAAAAUGUGAAAUCAGUGGAAAAGUACCAUUGUGGUUUAGUGCUUUAGUGGUACUUUAUAUUUCCAACAUCGUGUUAAAUAUUUUAUGUGUACNAUUGUUCACAUGCCAUAUAUUAAGUUGAUGUAUGCUUUUCUAGUGGCUGCUCAAACUUGUCCANAGUUUAUGAUUAAUUUGUUUGUGUUUAUGUUCUUAAACUUACCUAUCUUGCAUAAUUUGCCAGGAGUUGCUUCAAUUAGAAGAUUUCAAACUUCUUGAAGAGAUGUACCCAUAAGGAGAAAAGGUGAGUUCCUUGUCCAUACUAGACUUCUACACAUAUACAAUGUGCUAUAGUUCCCCCACUUACUGAUCCUGUAUGAAUNCAGGCUGAGGCAACAUGGGCACUAACAGUUCUAGGGUAUNUGGCAAAACUUGUUUUGGGAAUUUUAGGGUAAGCAAUGACAUAUAAGGAUUGAGUUACUUGGAAUGCUGGAUACACUAAACUGUCUGUGAUGAUUUUCAGAAGGUUCUCUCUUGAUAAAUUUCAUAAAGAUUGAUAGAUAAAUAGAUUAAAUGGUUUAUUUUCGUUACUAAAAAUUGAUUGAAUUUAAAUUAAUGAAGGAANGACUGAUAAGAAGUUUAAGUAAAAUUAUAUUUGGUUAUAGAAUAUAUAAUUUAACUAGGAGAAAAUAAUGAUAUUUUAGAGAAAAUAGACAAAAUUAGUUGNAUUGAAGUGCUACUAGANGUAUGAGGGUGGCAAUAGACACCCCUUCGAUGGGGGCAGUGAAUACAGUUGCAUUACUAUUGCUGGGAUAUUAUUACUCUUGCUAUCUUAAUCUAAAACAGGUUUUAUGACUUCCAUGUAUCAUCUAACUUAAGAUUUGAAAACUGUGCCAGAUUAAUCGUUUCUGUGGCGUGGGUUGGUCAUAUUAUUAUCUAUCUAUUAGUUGAUCCUCCUAUUUCUCCUUUCUUGAAUGAAGUUUUCAUCAAGCUGGAUGAUAUCUGGGGUAUGUUGGAAUACGCUUACCUUAAUAUUUGAUUACCAUAAGUUAUAUAGUUUAGAUAUAUUAUAUUAUAAUUUCCAUUAUAUUAUUCUUCGUGAUGUCUUCUUCUUUCAUUAGGUCUUCUUGGUACACCUGCAUUUGCAUUCUUCUGCUUCUACCUUCUUGNUGUGAUUGCUGGAGCCAUGGUGCUUGGGCUGAAGUUUUUAUUACUANUCAUCCAAUGAAGUAAUUAAACAUUGCAGUCUAUUAUACCAUUUCACAUUGAUUUUAAUUUGUAUUGGUCACAUACUAGGACUUGUUAAUUUUUCUAACAUUAAUUUCUACUAAAAUUUAAUUAACUAAUUUUAUAUUUUUUUUUGCAGUAUUUUUUUAGUUACAGAUGUCGACAACAUUGUGACAAUCAAAUCAUUGAAGUUAGAGAAGAUUGAUGUUUAUAUUUAAUUAGUACACAUUUAUAGGUUAUGUUAUGAAUGUUAUACUUGUAUAUAUUGUCUUAUAAAGCUAUGUAAUAUCUUAUAAAGUUAUGUAAUGUCAUGAUACAUAUUGAAUAAUUCAAUGAUUAUAUUUUGAAAUAUUAUUGUAUCAAUGAUUUUUAUUUGUACACUAAACUAAUGAACAUUUUUUUAUCUUUGUAGUUUCAUAUUUUUCUUAAUAAUUUAUAUUUUUUUAUAUAUAAUAGAAUCAAUAAAUAGUGUUAGUUUGUAUACAAUAGAAUUAAUAUUUUAUAUUUUUUUUGAAAAAAUAUUUUAUAUUUUUUGAAAUAUUUUAUAUUUUUUGAAAUAUUUUAUUAAAAAUUUAUUAUUAUUUUUUAAAAAUUUAGAUUAAUAGAUAGCGUUUAUUUAAAAAAGCGCUAUCUAUUGGUGUCUGACAAUAAAUAGUGCUUAUUUAAAGAAGUGCUAUCUAUUAAUAGAUAGCGCUUACAUAGAUAGCGCUUGCUUAAAAAGCGUUAUCUAUAAUAAAAAAAAUAGCGCUAUCUAUGAGUUUUUUUGUAGUAGUGUGGGCUGAUCUAAUCAUUCUUUCGUUAACUUUAUUGUUGUCGCCAGAAUCUAAAACCCAUCGCUCAUUACAUGCAGAAAACAAACUAAACACGCAGUUUUGUUCUGAAACUUAGUCUUGGGUUCUCUUCUGCACUUGAUCUGCAAACACAUAAUAAAUUAUAAUGUAAGAGAUUUGAUGACAAUCAAUAGUGAAAAAUCUUAAAUUUUAUUUAAUUUCACUUCUCUUUAUCUAACGGAAGACUUUUCUUUUACCUUAAUUUUUAAACAAUCAUACUGAGUCCAGUGAGAAAAGAAUUAGAAGGAAGUUCUCUAAGCUACAACACAGAGUGUUAUAGUAUCUCAAUUUAGACCCAUAAAUUUCAAAAUGCACUUAAGUUGGUCCUACAUAGACAUAAUUGAUGAGAUUCCAGAUAUACAUAUAGUUGAAGAGACACGUACAAUUCUCUCAGAAUUCAAUAUUACAACCUCAAACAAAUUACAUAUAGUGGAUACUCCCAAACAAAAUAAUUAUAACAAGCUUUUUAGACUAUGCAAAUCUCCAAACUUUAACCCUUGAUUAUUUGGAGACAAAUAAUGGCAGUCUAUUUAAUAGAAAAAGCUUGUAUGGAUUUACUUGCCAUCAUCAUGAUGUAAAAGUUUGGCAAUGAGCUUGGAUGAAUGAUUUUCAAUGCUUUAAUAGUAUUCAGUUCAAGAAAGUUGUUUUGUUGUCUAGUUUUCUCUUAGAUGCUUGUAAUUGACAUUUGCUUUACUUUUGUUGAUGUUACCUUCCGACAACUUCUAAAUUGAAAUAGAUCAAUUUAAGAAUCUGGAGAGAAUGUUCGAUACUCAAAAGAAUGUUUUACUUUUAUGUAUGUGGAACAUAGAAUCCACCUUUUCUUCUUUACUCUUGGAAUCCAGCUAUUCUUGGGAUUUACUUUUAGAAUUUAGCAAUCCUUGGUUUUACUUUUGGAACAACAUUCUCUUGGUCUUCCUUCGUUAAUUUUAAUACCAAUAAAUCAGCAAAAAAUAAUAUAGGACCUUUUGAUAUCAGAAAAAUAAAAAUUUAAUUAUACAUUAUUAACUUGAAAAAUGUUACCUAUACAUUUUCUAACAUUUAAAAAAAUGUUGCCUCUACACUCUACUACAAAAGUGACAUAUUAUAUUGAUUUAGAAAUCAGUAGUGUAAGGUGAUAUAAUAAGUGAAACACAUAUGAUAUUAGUUAUCUAAGAAUCGAUGUUAUAUGUUAUGAUUUUUUCUUUUAAAAGCACGGUGUAACAACGGCUUGCGGUUAUGAAACGAGUGCGAGGAUGGAGGGCGAAACUGAAACUAGUGUCGACAAGAUGGACUUUUCUCAAUAGCAGCACAAGGAGGGUGUUUCUUUCAUGCACCUUCCUUCACAUAGCACUACAACAACGACAAUGGCCAGGGUUCAACACAAAGUAGUGAAAGGUUGUGCCUUCUUCGCAUAGUAGUAGUGACGCAAUAUGGAGGCUUCUCAGUGUUAAAGGGCGACAUCGAUGAAACUAGCGGGAAAAGAAAAAAACCAAUGAAGCUUUUCUAAAUAUCGAGAGGGAAGCUUUUGAUUAUGUAACGUAUCCUAAGAAUAUUCCUUGUACAAUCUUAUCUUCAAGCUUGUGUCUCCUUUGAUCAGGAACAUGUACGCAGUAGAUUGAUCAAAAUACUGGUAGGUGGUUAGUUUCCAAAUUUCUUUCACUUCAAGGUUCAAUAAUAGUCUUGCCUUGGACUACCUUAGUUGGACAUUUAUUUAGAUUGUAAACUGUAAUGUAAACUUCUUUAGUCCAAAAAGUAUUAGGGAUGCUUUUCUCUUUUAGCAUUGAUCUUGUAUCAUCUCCAUGACUGUAUGAUUCUUUCUCUGUGUGGCACACCAUUUUGUUGUGGAGUAUAUGUGACUGUAAGUUGUCUAUCUGUGUCUUCAUCUUCACAAAAUUUUUCAAACUCGCGAGAUAUGUUUUCCUUUCCACGAUCACUUCUAAGUACUUUUAUCUGUUUUUCGCAUUACUUCUCAACAAGGGCCUUACAAUUCUUGAAUACUCUUAAGAGUUUUGACUUUGCCUUUAAGAAAUAGACUCAUGUUAUCUUAGAGAAGUCAUCAAUGAGAAGGAUGAAAUACAUGUUGUUGUGAUGUAAAGGCGUCCUUAUCGAUCCACAAAGAUUAGUAUGGAUCAUCUCUAAAGUCGUUUGCUCUCCAUGCUUUUCCUGUUGAGAACGGCAAUCAAUGUUGUUUCCCGAGAAAACAUCUAUCGCAUGAUUCAUUAUUCUGCUUCAAGCAUAGAAGAUCUCUCAUCAUGUUUUUCUUAUAUAGAAGCUUUGAGGCAUUUGUGUUGAAGUAGCCAAAUCUCCAAUGUCAAAGUCAUGAGUCAUCAACUUCUGUCUUCAUAACAAUAUUAGUUCCAAGUUUGAAACUUAUAGGAAAUCUUCUAUUUAUAUUCUCCAUUUUUACUUGACCAAUUUAUAACUUUCUGUUGUCAUAAAUUUUUUAUGUAUCUUUCUCAAAGUGAAAAGAAUAUCUAUUCUCAUUGUGGUGUCGUUUCUCAGCCGAACUUUGACAUUGAUAGAUUUAUUCCCUUAUAUUUUUAGUUCUAAGAUUAUAAUUUUAGUUUUAGUUGAAAGACAUUUUUAAUCAAGUGUUAAAUGUUGUCUUACAUCAAAUCAUAAUAUAUAUUAUAUUUAUAGAUUCAGAUUAUUUUAAAAAAUGUUAAUCAUAACUUAUAUAAAAUGUUCUAGAUUUUUAACUACGUAAAAUAUUUUUAAUUUUGUUUUCUAUAUUAGUUGUGAAGACUUCAACCCACAGUCAUACUAAUUUUAGGAGUUUAGUAUCCCGUAACCUUCUAAUACCAUAUACUUCACCAUUUAAACAAAUAAGCACUAUAACUACUUCCAAUGAUAAUUUUAUUUUAUCAAUACCUAUGUAUAACAGAUAAAAAUAAGAAACAUUAAUAAAAUAAGUUUUUUAACAAUUAUUUUAAACAUAUAAUUGGGUUAUAUAAACGAGUGAGUAAUGUUAAAUAAAUUCUAGUAGUAAAAUAGAUAAUUAAUUAAAUAAAAUCAUAGCUAAGGUUUUGUAAUAAAAUAUCUUUGUCAUUUUGUUUUAUUAAUUACAUAAAUUUCCAAAAAACAUUAAGAAAAAAAAAAACGAAAUAAAGAAUCAUAUAUGUUCACAUCCAAACACGUUCUAAACAUUGGGUGAGUUGUGUCCACAAUUCUAAUUAUCGNNNNNNNNNNNNNNNNNNNNNNNNNNNNNNNNNNNNNNNNNNNNNNNNNNNNNNNNNNNNNNNNNNNNNNNNNNNNNNNNNNNNNNNNNNNNNNNNNNNNNNNNNNNNNNNNNNNNNNNNNNNNNNNNNNNNNNNNNNNNNNNNNNNNNNNNNNNNNNNNNNNNNNNNNNNNNNNNNNNNNNNNNNNNNNNNNNNNNNNNNNNNNNNNNNNNNNNNNNNNNNNNNNNNNNNNNNNCAUGAGAUCAUUGUAUACUGUUUCUCUACCACUCAAAAUUCAAUGAAAAGAAGAUAAGGUUUGGUAUAUUUUUGAGUAUAAAGAGUGGUAGAACAGAGAGGGUGAUGAAGAGAAGAGAAAUAUGGCAACAGCAAAAGUAACUGUUGGUCUUGGUGGCAUCACCAAUGUGCCUGGAGCUCCCAACAACGUGGAGAUCGAACAUCUGGCUCGCUUCGCCGUUCACUAUUACAACCAUCAGCACAACGCAGAUUUGGAGUUUGUGACAGUGAUAAGUGCAAAGAAGCAGGUGGUGAGUGGGGUGUUGUAUUACAUAACCUUGAUGGUCAAAAAUGGCGAAACCAAAAUCCUGUAUGAAACCAAAGUGUGGGUGAGAGAAUGGUUGAAGUCUAAGGAGGUGCUGGAAUUCAAAGUCGUCGACGAUUCAACCACAAAAUUAGGCACAGGUGAAAGAAAGGAUGUUCCUGCCGACACCCCUUACAUCCAAAAUCUCGGUCGCUUUGCCGUUGAUCAAUACAACAAAGAGCAGGUUCUCUUUUAUUAUAUUGUUCUUUCUUUUCUUGAUUUCACUAGAGAACCAUUAUUCCAUGAUUGAUUUUGUUGAUGACGCAGAAUGCAAAUUUGAAGUUUGUGAGGGUGAUUCAUGCAAAGUUGCAGAUAGUGAAAGGGUCCUUAUACUACCUAACUUUGGAAGCAAAAGAUGCUGAGAGUAAAAAUGUGUAUGAAGCGCAGGUGUGGGAGUUCAACUCCACUGAAUUGGUGGAAUUCAAGCGUGUCAAUGAUGCUCUUUAAUCUUCUUUCCACUUUUCAAGACUACGUACUUUUAUUAUGCAUGUAUGCUAUAAAUAAAUGUAACUCAUGUUACGUACCCACCACCACCAUGUAUUCUCAUCAACUCCACUAUAAAUAAACUUAUUAUAUAA
rnacentral:lncRNA from 1 species